UCCGUGCGGCGGCCGCUGACAGCUCCCCCCGCGCCGCCCAGAAACUCCUGCCUCAACUCCGCGUGUGCGCGGGGGGUGCGGGGGUGUCCUCCCCGCCACCCGCCGAGAACCGUGUUUGCCUUCCCAAAAAGAGGAGGGGAAGGGGGGGGCAUAACAAGGGAAAGCGACGAGGAACUACCGUCAGCGCACAGGGAGUACCCGGGCGACGCUGAAGGCGGCCGAGCGUCCUAGCAGGGAGCGGACCCAAAAAGAAGGGGGAAGUCAGCAGGACGAGAGAGACACAUGGAUGAUGAUGAUGAGGAUGAAGAUGAGGAUGGUGAUGGGGAUCCCGAUGCUCCUCCUGCUCCCGCGGCUCCUCUCCUCCUCACCUCCGCCUCCUCCACCUCCGCCUCGCAUCGCUGGCCUCAGCCGCCGCCGACCAGCACAGUGCGACACAUAGACACAGCGACCGCCCGCCCUCCUCCUCCUCCCCUGCCGCGGCCCCACACUGCGCCUGCCCCGCCCGCCCACCGCCCG